rnacentral:rRNA from 1 species
CGUCCUACGGGACGCAGCAGUGAGGAAUAUUGGUCAAUGGGAGAGAUCCUGAACCAGCCAAGCCGCGUGAGGGAAGACGGCCCUAUGGGUUGUAAACCUCUUUUGUCAGGGAGCAAUUGGCGCUACGUGUAGCGUUAUCGAGAGUACCUGAAGAAAAAGCAUCGGCUAACUCCGUGCCAGCAGCCGCGGUAAUACGGAGGAUGCGAGCGUUAUCCGGAUUUAUUGGGUUUAAAGGGUGCGUAGGCGGGACGGUAAGUCAGCGGUAAAAAUGCGGAGCUCAACUCCGUCGAGCCGUUGAAACUACC